GAUAUGUUCAGCAGCUGAUCUGCUGCUGCUGAUCUACAGCUGAACAGAUCAGUUUCUAAUCUGUUCAGCUGCAGAUCAGCAGCAGCAGAUCAGCAGCUGAA
rnacentral:pre_miRNA from 1 species